CAUUCGUUCGCUAGACAACGAUCAGAACCAUACAAAUUCAAAAUGUCACUGUUCUUGAAAUUAUUGUUUUAUUUGUCGGGUAUAAGUUUUGCUGUCAGUUUUGAAAUUGAUCACAGCAAUCCUGAUGUCGUCGAACAUUAUAGUAACUCUCAGAUAGUAAAAACUGAAAAAGUUGACCUGAGAGUGUAUUACGAUUGCUGGUGCCAUGGCUGCCGCGACUUUCAUACAAAACAACUUGACCCAACUUAUAAGAAAAUUGGAUCUUACAUAGAUCUCAAAACGUAUCCUUAUGGUU